UACGAAGGGGGCGCGCGUUGUUCGGAUUUACUGGGCGUAAAGGGCGCGUAGGCGGCCGAUCAAGUCAGGCGUGAAAGCCCCGGGCUCAACCUGGGAAUGGCGCUUGGGACUGGUUGGCUUGAGUUCGGGAGAGGAGAGUGGAAUUCCCAGUGUAGAGGUGAAAUUCGUAGAUAUUGGGAAGAACACCGGUGGCGAAGGCGGCUCUCUGGACCGAGACUGACGCUGAGGCGCGAAAGCGUGGGGAGCAAACAGG
rnacentral:rRNA from 1 species